rnacentral:lncRNA from 10 species
CUUUUACGACAUGGACCCUUCUAUGAUACAGGCAACAAGAUCAACCCCUCCUCUUCCUCCUCAGCCUACUCAACAGGAAGACAAGUAGGAUGCAGACCUUUACAAUGAGCCACUUCAACUUAAUGAAUACAGGUCAAGUCAUGUUACUCAACCCAGACGCCCUAAGGAAAGGGAAGAGUUCAAGAUCAAUAACAAGAAGGGGUUCCGAGUGGCACCAUCACAUAUUCAUUUACUGUCAGCUCAUUAAUACACAAUAUGGUGGCAGAAGAAAACACCGAAAACAAUACCACUACCCCACUCCCUUUAUUAGAAAAAAGUUAAAAUACAAAUUCUAUUACUGUUUACCUAGGACCUAACUUCACACGGCUGACAUUUCUCAAAGAUAGGUCAUAGGAUCCCCAUUCCAGAAAGGGUGCUGUUCCAUACCCGGAAGGAAAGAAUGCUGCACAGAGAGGCCAAGAAGAAUCUAUACAGACAGGCAGGCCUUGCUGGGUUUCCCCACUCAGUAUAUGGCUGUCCAGACUUUGCUGAACCUAAGCAUACCAAUGGGCAGUUUUCUCCUAUAUCUUUAGGUCUUUAUUCUGAAGGCUCCCAUGUCACGUAACACCAAGAUCAAAUAAAAUCAUAUGCCCUUUCUCC